rnacentral:tRNA from 1 species
GGGGCAAUGGUGUAAUUGGUAGCACGACAGAUUCUGAUUCUGUUAGUUGGGGUUCAAGUCCCUAUUGCCCUA